rnacentral:rRNA from 1 species
AGCGAACGCUGGCGGCAGGCCUAACACAUGCAAGUCGAACGAAGUCUUCGGACUUAGUGGCGGACGGGUGAGUAACACGUGGGAACGUGCCCUUUGGUACGGAAUAACUCAGGGAAACUUGAGCUAAUACCGUAUGUGCCCUUCGGGGGAAAGAUUUAUCGCCAUUGGAGCGGCCCGCGUCUGAUUAGCUAGUUGGUGAGGUAAAGGCUCACCAAGGCGACGAUCAGUAUCUGGUCUGAGAGGAUGAUCAGCCACAUUGGGACUGAGACACGGCCCAAACUCCUACGGGAGGCAGCAGUGGGGAAUCUUGCGCAAUGGGCGAAAGCCUGACGCAGCCAUGCCGCGUGAAUGAUGAAGGUCUUAGAAUUGUAAAAUUCUUUCACCGGGGAAGAUAAUGACGGUACCCGGAGAAGAAGCCCCGGCUAACUUCGUGCCAGCAGCCGCCGUAAAAC